GGAUGAGAGAAACACCCCGCCCGCGGUUCUCCGCGGGCGACCCGGGAACGGCGCAUCCCCAGCACUGUUCCUCGCGUGCCUUUGCGCACGGCACCGGAGCCCUGGGUUCCGGGACUCCUCACCGAUCGGA
rnacentral:ncRNA from 1 species